AAAGCGUUUGUAGGUGGAUAUUUAAGUCUUUUGUUAAAUCUUUAGGCUCAACCUAAAUUCUGCAAAAGAAACUAUUUAUCUAGAGUAUAGUAGAGGUAAAGGGAAUUUCCAGUGGAGUAGUGAAAUGCGUAGAUAUUGGAAAGAACACCAAAAGCGAAGGCACUUUACUGGGCUAUUACUGACACUCAGAGACGAAAGCUAGGGGAGCAAAAGGGAUUAGAUACCCUGGU
rnacentral:rRNA from 1 species